UACGAGGGGGGCGAGCGUUGUUCGGAAUUAUUGGGCGUAAAGGGUGCGUAGGCGGUUUGGUAAGUCUGAUGUGAAAUCUAUGGGCUCAACUCAUAGUCUGCAUCGGAAACUGCCGGGCUUGAGUAUGGGAGAGGGAAGUGGAAUUUCAGGUGUAGCGGUGAAAUGCGUAGAUAUCUGAAGGAACAUCAGUGGCGAAGGCGGUCUGCUGGGGUGAGGCUGACGCUGAUGCGCGACAGCGUGGGGAGCAAACAGG
rnacentral:rRNA from 1 species